UUUUAAAGCUGGCGUCUUCGGCGCCCGCGUUGUAAUUUGGAGAGGCAUCUUCGGUUUGGGCGCCAGCCUAUGUUCCUUGGAACAGGACGUCACAGAGGGUGAGAAUCCCGUGCUUGGCUGGCUGUCCCUUGCCAUGUGAAGUGCCUUCGACGAGUCGAGUUGUUUGGGAAUGCAGCUCAAAAUGGGUGGUAAAUUCCAUCUAAAGCUAAAUAUUGGCGGGAGACCGAUAGCGCACAAGUAGAGUGAUCGAAAGAUGAAAAGCACUUUGAAAAUAGAGUUAAAAAGUACGUGAAAUUGUUGAAAGGGAAGCGCUUGAGACCAGACUCGGCCGGAGAUGAUCAGCCGUCCUUCUGGGCGGUGCACUUGUCUCCGGUCGGGCCAGCAUCGGUUGAGACGGCGGGAUAAAGGCCCGGGGAAUGUGGCUCCUUUCGGGGAGUGUUAUAGCCCCGGGCGCAAUGCCGCCAGCCUCGACCGAGGACCGCGCUUUUUGCUAGGAUGCUGGCGUAAUGGUCUUCAGCGACCCGUCUUGAAACACGGACCAAGGAGUCUAACAUCUAUGCGAGUGUUUGGGUGUCAAACCCUUGCGCGUAAUGAAAGUGAACGGAGGUGGGAACCCCCUCGCGGGGCGCACCAUCGACCGGUCCUGAUGUCUUCGGAUGGAUCUGAGUAGGAGCAUAGCUGUUGGGACCCGAAAGAUGGUGAACUAUGCCUGAAUAGGGUGAAGCCAGAGGAAACUCUGGUGGAGGCUCGCAGCGGUUCUGACGUGCAAAUCGAUCGUCAAAUUUGGG
rnacentral:rRNA from 1 species